GACGAACGCUGGCGGCGUGCUUAACACAUGCAAGUCGAACGGAAAGGCCCUGCUUUUGUGGGGUGCUCGAGUGGCGAACAGGUGAGUAACACGUGAGUAACCUGCCCUUGACUUUGGGAUAACUUCAGGAAACUGGGGCUAAUACCGGAUAGGAGCUCCUGCUGCAUGGUGGGGGUUGGAAAGUUUCGGCGGUUGGGGAUGGACUCGCGGCUUAUCAGCUUGUUGGUGGGGUAGUGGCUUACCAAGGCUUUGACGGGUAGCCGGCCUGAGAGGGUGGCCGGCCACAUUGGGACUGAGAUACGGCCCAGACUCCUACGGGAGGCAGCAGUGGGGAAUAUUGCACAAUGGGCGGAAGCCUGAUGCAGCAACGCCGCGUGCGGGAUGACGGCCUUCGGGUUGUAAACCGCUUUCGCCUGUGACGAAGCGUGAGUGACGGUAAUGGGUAAAGAAGCACCGGCUAACUACGUG
rnacentral:rRNA from 1 species